UUCGGCCACAUCUCGUUGAAGCACCGGUUUCUGUACGACAACCGAAGUUAAGCAACGUCUAGUCUAGUCAGUACCUAGAUGGGUAACCGCCUGGGAAUACCAGGUGCUGUAAG